GAGUUUGAUCCUGGCUCAGGAUGAACGCUAGCGGCAGGCUUAACACAUGCAAGUCGAGGGGUAGAGGAAGCUUGCUUCCUUGAGACCGGCGCACGGGUGCGUAACGCGUAUGCAAUCUACCUUGUACAGGGGGAUAGCCCAGAGAAAUUUGGAUUAAUACCCCAUAGUGUAGUUGAAUGGCAUCAUUUAACUACUAAAGUUCCAACGGUACAAGAUGAGCAUGCGUCCUAUUAGCUAGUUGGUGUGGUAACGGCAUACCAAGGCUACGAUAGGUAGGGGUCCUGAGAGGGAGAUCCCCCACACUGGUACUGAGACACGGACCAGACUCCUACGGGAGGCAGCAGUGAGGAAUAUUGGACAAUGGGCGCAAGCCUGAUCCAGCCAUGCCGCGUGCAGGAAGACGGUCCUAUGGAUUGUAAACUGCUUUUAUACGGGAAGAAACACUCCUACGUGUAGGAACUUGACGGUACC
rnacentral:rRNA from 1 species